AAUGCGUAGGAACCUGCCCUGUAGUGGGGGAUAGCCCGAAGAAAUUCGGAUUAAUACCGCAUGUGAUCUACGGAUCAAAGCGGGCCUCUACUUGUAAGCUCGCGCUAUGGGAUGGGCCUACGUCGGAUUAGCUUGUUGGUGAGGUAAUGACUCACCAAGGCGACGAUCCGUAGCUGGUCUGAGAGGAUGAUCAGCCACACUGGGACUGAGACACGGCCCAG
rnacentral:rRNA from 1 species